AUUUUACUGAAAAAUUGAAACAUUAAUUUUUUCCCUUAUGAUUUGUACCAAAUUGUAUAAGAAAGAAGAAUGUCAGCCCGUAGACCCAACCCAGGAACUUGCUAUUUCCAUCUGAACUAACGGUUGUGUUCUUUCUUUUGAUUUACUUCUGCUUUUAUGCCAACUGCGAGGGAAUAAACAGUCUCAUCAGCCCAUCUGCAGCUGUGCCUUUGCCACCUUCUGCCCCCAAGGAGGCCUUUGUACAACUGUCACCCUCAGGAACCUAUGAAAACCAUUUUUCAUCCCAGACUUGGCCCCAGGUGGACGCACCUUUUCCCUGAUAUUUCACCUCAUGGAACUCCUCUCCCUCUGGUCCAGGGCAGGACCUUCGCACAGUCCAUUCUGCCACACAAGCACCUUUAUGAAGCCAGAAGGAAAAGCCAGGAUGCGCGUGAUGAGUAGGAGACUUCCAAGUGCCAGGCACUGAGCUGGCCACUUGGGAUACAGGAAUGACAAACCAGUUGCCCCUAAGGAGCUCACAGGCCAAUGAGGAGACAGACAGACCUGUCAGUAACCACCAGCAGCAGAACAUGAAGAGGGUUAUACAUGGGACUUGCGACCCAGGCUCUGGGAGUAUAGCGGAGAGCAAGAGUUAGGACACGGUGAGCAUUCAGGGAGGCUUCACAAAGAGUUAAGCUGGAGAUAAACUUCAAUUAUAAACACAUGUUAUCAAGAUGUGAAGAAGGAGAAUAAAUGGGACAUGGAGAGGGAAUUCUAGGCAAAGUAAAAGUCAUGUGCAUUGGUCUGUGGCUUUGCAGAAUGUGGGAAUUAAAAAGAAAUCAAGCAAUUCCAAAUGAUAAGGACAUGUCAUGUUAGAGAGUUGACUAUGACACCCACAUUCACCCCAUAGUAGGAGGCUGGAAAGGGAGGUGGAGGCCAGGAGGUGGGACUUUAAUUCAGAUUGGAUGGGCAGGAAUUUUUUGCACGGGUAAGGGGGAGCCAUUAAAGGACUUUGAAUGGGGGAAAGUCAUAUCAUAUUUACUACUGUGAAAGAUCCCUCUGGCUGUUGUAUGGAGAAAAGAUUGGGAGGAACACAAGUGAAUGCAGGGUAACAGAUGGUUACCACAGUGGCCCAGGAAAGGGUGACAAGAAGGAGGGUCAGGAGUGACUCCUAGACUUAGCGUUUACAUAGUAAGAGGCUGAGUUAUGGAUUCUGGAGUAGAACCACCUUUCAGGGGACAGAUCAGGAAUCUGGACUUUCACAUACCAGUUUAAGAUCCUUUUAAGAAAUCCAAAGGGGAGUAUCAAGUAGGUAGUUGAAAGCUCAGAGGAGAGGUCAAGGUGGGUUGUAUAAAUUUACAUUUGAUCAUUGAGAUCAAAACCAGGAGUACUGAUGAGGGUGUAGUUGAGAAGAGACCCUGGGUGUAAGCCGGUGGAAUUUCAAAGGCUCAAGAAUGGGUAUUAGAAUAAGUAGACCCAAGGGACUGAGAGUGAGAGGGUGGCAAGGGGGUGCAAGAUUCAGAAGACUGGGGUAUUCCGGAAGCAGUGGAAGAGUGUGUUUAAGAAGGAGAUUUGUCAGGUCCGGGCGCAGUGGCUCAGACCUGUAAUCCCAGCACUUUGGGAGGCCAAGGCGGGUGGGUCACCUCAGGUCAGGAGUUCGAGACCAGCCUGGCCAACAUGGUGAAACCCCUCUCUACUAAAAAUACAAAAAAUUAGCUGGGCAUGGUGGUGCAUGCCUGUAGUCCCAUAGUCCCAGCUACUGGGGAGGCUGAGGCAGGAGAAUCACUUGAACCCAGGAGGUGGAGUUUGCAGUGAGCCAAGAUCGCGCCACUGCACUCCAGCCUGGGCAACAGAGUAAGACUUCAUCUCAAGAAAAGAGAAGGAGAUUGGUCAAAUACAGCAAGUGUUGAGAGACCAAGUGGGAUGAGAACUGAAAAUACUGAUGCAGAUGUCGCUGUUAAUCUUCACAAAAGCAGUAGGAGUGUGUUGAAGAUAGAGAGGGAAAGAAAUGAAGUCUGUGAUGCAAAAAGAAUUUUGCAAAAUCUUUGCAAAUUUUGCUGAGGGAGAGGCAAUGGAAAGGGCAGUAGAUGGAGGGGAACUGGGGAUGAAGUUUGGGGUUUUGGCCUUCUUUAUUAGUGGAAGGAGCUUGUGUAGUUUUAAAUGUUGUUGGUAAGCCAAGCAUGGUGGCUCAUACCUGUAAUCCCAGCACUUUGGGAGGCGGAGACAGACAGAUCACUAGAGCUCAGGAGUUUGAGACCAGCCUGGGAAACAUGGUGAAAUCCUAUCUCUACAAAAAGUACAAAAAUUAGCCCGGCAUAGUGGCACACAUCUGUAGUCCCAGCUACUCAGGAGGCUGAGAUGGGAGGAUUUCUGGAGCCUGGGAUGGUCAAGGUUGCAGUGAACCAAGAUCAUGCCACUGCACUCCAGCGGGCAAUAAAGCCAGACUUUGUCUCAAAAAAUAAAAUUAAGUUAAAUUAAACUAAACUAAAAUAAAUAAAUUAAUGUUGAUGGGGGAGAAUAAAAUUAAAAGGCAGGGGCUGAAUGUUUAAGAGAUGGAAGAGAUGAAGUCUAAAGCAAUGAUUAAGGAAUGCCUUCUUCAUUUCUUUCACUGAAACAGUCCUUCCAAUUCAAGAGGAUCACCCUGUGCUCCCACAGAACUCUGUCCUUCCCCUAUAGGCUAUUUCCAUUCCCAGUUGACUGCCUAUUUACUCCCUAGGUUGUGAACUCAAGCCAGCUCCACGAGGGCACUGUUGAGUGCUGCGUUCACCAUUGUGUCACAAAUGCCUAACACAGUGAUUCUCAACGUUUUUGUCUCAGGCUGCUUACACCCUUAAAAUUAUUAAUGACCCCAAAGAGCCUUGUUUAUGUGGAUUUUAAAUAUUGACAUUUGUAGUAUUUGAUAUUAA
rnacentral:lncRNA from 1 species